ensembl:lncRNA
AAGUUCUCUCUGAAGACAUGAUGCAUGAAUUAAGUGGAAAAUAUUAACAGAGGAUCAUUUGAAGGCUGGAUAAAGAGAGAUCCAGGCAAAUAAAUCAAACACAAGACACUUGUGUUAACAAGCAUUUAUUGAGUGAAAGGCAGCCUGCUAGGUGUCGGGUACAAUAUGAUAAAUAAGACAGCCCACACUCUCAAGGAGCUCAUGUUUUAAAGACAUUUCCUGUCAAAAUGUGGGUGAAAACUACCAGAUGUACCUCUUUCAAGUUCAGAUUCUUAGGCACUGUCUUAAACUUGCUGAUUCAUAAUCUUUCUGAUAACCCUUGGUUCAAAAUUAACACCCUACAUAUUUUAAGUCUUUUUAUUUAAAAUAUUGUUGAGUAGUAGAUUCUUUAGCAGAAAUUUAUUUUUAAAACAAUGUAGUAAUAGAUAUACUUAGGAAGUUGCAAGAGGGAAGAGGAACCUGCAACCAACCUAAAGGGGUGGAAAGACCUCUUGUAAGAAGGAACAUCUCAGGUUGACCAUUACAGAAGGCACCCAGAGUACGUGUGCUGUUUGGAAUAGGGAGAAUUAUUGGAUCUUUCUAGGAAGCAGCUAAUUCAUAAACUAAGGUAGCAAAGUUAGAAAGAGACUGGUGUCAAUAGGGAAAUGCAAGGAGUUUGUUUAGGAGGAGAAUGAAGUACACACACAAAAAAGGGUUAUCAAAAUAAUUAGGCACCAAGUCAUCAGGAACUUUAAAUGUUAGUUUAAGAAAACUUGAUUGUAUCCUGUCUUAGUUUUGAUGUUAUUGUUUGGUCGCUUAAGUCAUGUCCGACUCUUUGUGACCUCAUGGACUGCAGCACGCCAGGCUGCUUUGUCCUCCACUGCCUCCUGAAGUUUGCUCAAAUUCAUGUCCAUCGAAUUGGUGAUGCUGUCUAACCAUCUCAUCCUCUGCCACCCUUUGCCUUCAAUCUUUCCUAACAUCAGAGUCUUUGCCAAUGUGUCGCCUCUUCACAUUAGAUGACCAAAGUAUUGGAGCUUUAGCAACAGUCAUUCCAAUGAAUAUUCAGGGUUGAUUUCCUUUGGAAUUGACAUUCCAAGGCAAAUAACAUGAAUUAUUUAAAAAAUUCAGUCUAGAGAGGGAGAUACUGAAAAAAAAAUUUAAAAUGAAGCCUGUUUUGUUCUAGUCAGUUGUUGCCAUGGGGAAGCAUGGCAGAGAACUGCCAGAUUGUCCAGUCUUUCAAAAAUAGCCAGAAAUCUGGUGUAUUCAUUAGAAUUAGGUUCAGCUGCUAAUAACAGGAUAUCCUAAAAUAAGAAUGAAAUUAUUUAUUGCUCACAGAUAGGUCUGGGAAAAUGCAGUCCUAGGUUGGAAUGUCAACUCUGUUCUACCAAAACUAUAGGGAACCAGAUUCCAUCUAAGUCACUCCCCCACCAUUCUUGGGCUGUGACCCUGUUCUUCUGUUUCUGCAUGUACAGGCAGCAGAAGAAAUGGCCAAUUUAACGGGAAGAGAACAAACUCAUUUAGAAAGUUACUGGAAACUGCCAUAGGAUUCUACUCCAUGUCUACAUGCAAGGAAAUGGAUAUGGAAUGGAUUUUUUUUUUAUUCUGAGUUACCAUGAUAACUUCUUAUUAUUAUGGAGAAAAUCUAUUUAUCACUGUGUUUGAUCAAUACUAAUAGUACUGGAAAACAAAACUAUCUGAGUUGUGGAUGACCUCUAAACUCCCAGUUUGUUUAUGGGUAUCUUUGGUUUAUGGGAUUCUUUGGAUAUUAUCAAGUAGCAUAAUGAGCUAUUCAAUAUGUAGAGAAGGGAUAUAUUCAUAAGCUACUUUCAUAAUCAAAUUUUCUGAACUUGAUGACUAGAUUGUUGGGUAAAAAAGUGAGAGAGAAUUCAAGAAUUACUCCCAAGGUUUUGGUUUGAUUUAUUUGACUAAGAUAUUGGUCAGUGGAUAUGGAAUGGAUUUGGCUAAUUUGGACCAAAAGUACCAAAAAAUCAUUGAUUUUUGGGAAAAGAUGGGUCCAUUUUUGCACAUGCUAACUAAGAACUCUACAUUGCCAUACUACAUGCAUUUUGAUAUUAAGACCAAAGGUAGGGGAGGAGUUUGAGUAAUAGAUUUAGGACUUACAGGAUAUGGUAAGUGAAAAUGUCAUUAUAGGAGAAGUUAUCAGGAUAACAUGGAAACAAAUAUAGAUUGCAAAAGGCUGUCAUAAUCGUACUGAAUACUGGCAAAAAAACAUGGUUACUCAAGAGCUCAUCAAAGAGAUGUAAGGUCAAGAUCAUCAUGAAUGUAAAUAGGUGAGAACUGAAGAAACUUUGAAUCUUUGAACAUAGUUUGAAUAUAGUUCAGCAGAUGUGCUAUAAGUAAUGUCCACAUAAUUUGUUAAUUAACAAGAUGCUAAGUUCAGUGAAAGGGAGAUUUCUUGGGGAGGAAAAUAAAUGCCAGUGUGUUGAUGAAUGAAUCUGGAGGUGUCGAGGUGGAUACAAGUGAUUAUUAUUAAAUAUUAAAAUUUUAUUAAAAUUCAGUUAAAAUGUAUUGAAGCAGCCAGAGGUUAAAACAAGAUCAAGAGAAAAUUAUUUUCUUAGAAUGGGAUGCAUAUGAGCAUACUGAUUGGAUUAGAAAAAAAGACAAUAUAGAGACUUUUCAAGGUGUUUAUGUUGGAUGAUAUCUAAAUUGGAUGAUAUGACUAAUUGACCAGGGUUUGAGGACAAAAGUGUUUAAGGCAUCAGGUCAUAGAUUCUUUAGUAAAGGAUGAGAAAAUCUGGCAAUGUGGCUUCAUGUAAGCUUAAUUUUGAGGAUAAGAAAUUAUGAAAAACUAUUCCUCCCCAAUACAGUGUUAUUAAUUAGGUGAACAAAAGUGGAAAGUGCAUAUGGAAAGACUUCACAGAUCAGAGGCUCCAGCUGGGUUAGGAAAUACUGAUUUUAUAAUACUGCCGUUUAGCAGAGGAAUGCCUGUGUGUGAGUGUGUGGAUGUGUUUUCAUCCAUGCUUAGGUAAUUGAAUAAAAAGACACACAUGCUACUGACCCAAAUAUGCAUUUGCUGGACAUAUUCUGUGGAAGCAUAAUGAUCCAAAUACUUUAAGUGAACUCAAUAGAAAAUUAUUCAACAGGGAAACAACUAAGUCCAAAUUAGAUAGAAAAAGACGAAUAGUUCUAACAGACAGGAGCAGUUUGAAAGGAUGAGGACAAUGACAGUCUCUGAGAAUCUGAAGAGCAAAUUUGGCAGAAAUAAGUUUUGGGAAGAAAUGAAGUCUAUGAUCAAAAUGAAGGAUGCUAAGACUAAGAUUUCUGAGUUGGAAUACACCCUGGUAACAGAAGUGACUGGCUGAAUUGAAACAAGGGCCAAAGUCUCAGGUAUUAUAUUCUCCAAGAAUUUCAAAAGCUAUUAGUUGUUGUUGGGGACAUAUCAUUACUUUAUAGAAACAUAUUAUGCAUAUUACAAAGAUCAGGUUCAGAUUUUGACACACAGGUCUAGGAGUUAAAAUGAAUCUUCUGUUUUUGUCAAUUAUUUGGUUUCUAACUAUCAAAGGAUCAUCUAACUUUCCUCUGUUUUAAAUACUAUAAUGGUAAAAUGGAAAUAACAAAGAUAAUUUACCUUCUAUAGUAAGUAGUGAAAAAAUUGUUAGUUUGUUUUAACAGGAAUCAGCUGUGGCAUUUCAUAGAGAACAUUAUAGCCAGAAAAAUAAAUUGUCUUAUUGCAGUUUACUGAAUAAACUGCUUUCUGCAGUCACUCCCUUCCAUGGCUAGUGUGCAGACACCCAAGGAGUAGUUGUAGAUGUUCCCGUUGAUUUCACUUAGAGGUCUCAGUGAUCUUUCUGAAGUUCCUUAUGCACUGGAGAACAUUUAAUUACAAAUAGGACAUCACCAUAGUCCCUCAACCACAGUUGAAAACUCCACUGAACAAAGUGGGAAACACAAGAUUUCUUUAUUUUUAAGGAAGAAGUUCUUCAAACAGUAAAAGAAAAUAAGAAAAUUGCCAGUGUUUCUCAAAAUAGUUCUCAAGAGACUUAAUGUGUUGCUUGUACAUGUAAACACCUGUGUUCAUGACAAAGGUUUUAUACUUCCAAGAGAAAUGAAUAUCAUAAAAGCAGAAUUCAUUACCAUAUGUAAAAUAGAUGACCAAUGCAAGUUCCAAGCAUGAAGCAGGGCACCCAGAGGGAUAGGGUGGGGAGGGGUAUGGGAGGGUGUUUCAGGAUGGGAGGGACGCAUGUAUACCUGUGGCAAUUCAUGUUGAUGUAUGGCCAAAUCCAUCACAGUAUUGUAAAAUAAUUAUCAUUAAAAUUAAAACAAAUUAAUUGAAACAUUAAACAUUAAUUGAAUUAUUUUUUUAAAAAGCGGAAUUCAGGAAUCUCCCUAAAAGAAAUCAUGUGAAGGGAAGUAAAGUUCUCAUCAUAAAGGAGUAAUAAAAUUUCUCAUUUAAUAACCAAUGGUAGGGAUUUAUUUCUGUCAUGAGUUAGUUUUGAUGAAGGUCUAAAAGGCUAAAGAUAGGAUUCAUGUGAGGGAUUUUAGGUCAUGAGGUGAGUUAAAAAGAGAAUCAAACAACACCUCCACUAAGAAGGCCAUGAUUAGAAGAUAUUUUGGAGCCAAUCAUACACAGGAAUAAUAGUCAUAAUUUUAUAGCCAAAUGUUUUGUAAACAUCUCAAUGGGCAGACUAUGUACCACUAUACCUUUUACAGACUUUUAGAUUUUUCUAAGAAAACAUUUUGAACUAUAAAAAAUAUAACAAGAAAAGUUUGUUUUCAGGUUUCUCCUCAAUAAUAAUUAUUUGUCUAAAGUAGCUUGGCUUUUUCUUUGAGUUGUCAGCAUUUUGUGCUAUGGGUUGUGCUUUGUGGGCCAGAAUUUAUACCAAGGGGAAAUUUGCCUAAUAAUCAUUCUAUUGUUUUGCAGGAUUCAAUUAUAAUCAUACAUUUGGAAGAUACCUUAGAUCAGUUUAAGCCAUUUUCCCCAUCUUUAAAUUUUCAAUAGAGACACUGUUUGUAAACCAGCCAAAACAUUUGAUUCAUUCCUGUCUUCCAGUUUGAAACUCUUAUUCAAACCUCUUUCUCUGAAAUAUAGUUGAGAAAGUAAUAGAUGUACCAGAAAAAAAUGAGGGAGAAUGUUUAUUCUUUGUUUUCCAAAUUGUUAUAUACAGUUAAGGCAAUUCAUUGGUUUAAUUAAAAAUAUUUUAGUUAUGAAUAUUUUAUUUUAGAAUAAAAUAUUUUAAAAUAUUUUAGAAUAUGAAUUUCAUGUGUGGCUAAUAAGGUUGUGAUAGGACAUUUUGAUAGAAGAAAAAAAGAAGACGUUAGUUAUGUUUAGUAGGCAUUGAAACUGUAAGGUGUAGGGAGGCACAAUUACUCCUUUCAUUGGCAGAUGGGAAAAAGGGUAGGUGUCUGAAUUUGGGUGAAUAGAGUUGCCCUGGCAGAUGGUCAUGAUUUACACUGCUUUUAUUCCUAUGGUUUACAGACAGUAUUCUCACCCUCUGUUUCAUAUUCUGCUAAAUAGAGGAGUCAGUGUUUGUGGUUUAUAACUAGAGAAAAUGCAUUCUCAUUAUGUGGCUGGUAAAAAGGUGAGAGGUAAAGAAAAUCCCAAUCUUCCUGAAGUGACAAAAAUGUGCUUCUGAAAUAUUACAAUUCCUAUUUGAUUUAUCCAUAGUGAUAAUUGUUUAAUUGGCAUGUUUCAAAUGGGUCAAUUAUGUUAAGGUAUUUUUUGGCAGCAGGGAAAACAUUAAUAAUAAGAUGCAAAGAAUUAUAAAUAUUGAUCAGUGACUGUAGGGUUACUAGUACAGACUUGGACAUAUGAUUAUUGUUUUGCUAUUUUAGUUACUAAGUAGUGUCCGACUCUUUAUAACCCCAUGGAAUGUAGACCGCCAGGCCCCUCUGUCCUUGGGAUUUCCCAGGCAAAAAUACUGGAAUGGGGUGCCAUUUCUUCCUCCAGGAGAUUUUCCAACCCAAGGAUCAAACCAGUGUCUCCUGCAUUGGCAGAUAGAUUUUUUACCACUUAGCCGCCCGAGAAGCGAGACUUGGACUUAGGUCAUAUUAAAAUCUUUUGCAGAGAUUUGUGAGUUGGACCUAAAUUAUAACCUUUUAUAAACUUUAUUGAUCCUUUGCCAAAAUGUACCCUGUGUACUAAACAAUAUAAAUUUACAAUCUUGAAACAGUGUCUAAGUGGUUUUAUUUAUUCAUUUAUUUAAUAGAAACUUUUGAGAAUGAGAAGUAACAUCAUGACAAUCUUAACGUUGUGAUAACUACACGACAGUUUUAUUUUCUCUAUCAUUUAUAGCAUAUAAUUUUUAUCAUCAAGUAAACCUGAUAGAUUGAAUGUAGCAACAAAAAUUUUAUAUAAUUUAUAAGUAUAUUUUUCUCGGGUAAACCUAUUAACUUCUUUUUAAGCUGUAAUGGGGUUGGAGGCUUUUUCUUAUUGGAGAAAACAGAGAUGGUGGUAUUGUAACUUCUGUUUAAGUGAUAUUAACUGGAAUGUUUUUGGUGUUUUAUUCAUUCAUCAAGUAUUACUGACAGUCUAAGAUGUGACUAGUAUGGAAUAUGUUUGUGCAUACAUUAUAAAUGGAAUUAUCUGCUUGGAAAUAUAAGAUAAUCAGCAUAGUCUCUGAUUCAAAGCUAACAGAAUGGGAAAAGAUGAACAAUGUCUUUGACAGUGGAUAAGAAAAGGCUCCAAGAGUCAUUCCAUACCUGGGGAAACAGUUAAGCAGUAAUCAGUUUCCAGUUGUCUUCAAGAAUUACUUUGGGUCCAACAUGCUACAUUUUCCUUUAUUUGAUGGAGAAUAAUGUAUUUCAAGCUUCCUUGAUGUUUCCCAGGAAAUAUACCUUUUAAAACAAUGCAAAUAUUUAUAUAUUUCAGGGAUAAGGAUGUUAUUUGCAAAAAUAGCAGGUGUAUGAAUAUCUUGAGAUGUUUGAGUCCAGAUUUUACUCUGAAGACAGCCAGGUAGCUUUCCCUG